GACGAACUGUGCAAACGUUAUUCGGAAUCACUGGGCUUGAAGAGUGCGUAGGCGGCGCAGAAAGUAGGGUGUGAAAUCCCUCGGCUCAACCGAGGAACUGCGCCCUAAACUACUGUGCUCGAGGGAGGUAGAGGUGAGCGGAACUUAGGGUGGAGCGGUGAAAUGCGUUGAUAUCCUAAGGAACACCGGUGGCGAAAGCGGCUCACUGGACCUCUUCUGACGCUGAGGCACGAAAGCUAGGGUAGCGAACGGG
rnacentral:rRNA from 1 species